UACGUAGGGCGCAAGCGUUGUCCGGAAUUAUUGGGCGUAAAGAGCGUGUAGGCGGUUCGGUAGGUCCGUUGUGAAAACUCGAGGCUCAACCUCGAGACGCCGAUGGAAACCCUCGAACUAGAGUCCGGAAGAGGAGAAUGGAAUUCCUGGUGUAGCGGUGAAAUGCGCAGAUAUCAGGAAGAACACCCGUGGCUAAGGCGGUUCUCUAGUACGGUACUGACGCUGAGACGCGAAAGCGUGGGGAGCGAACAGG
rnacentral:rRNA from 1 species